rnacentral:rRNA from 2 species
AGGUGAAGCUAGGAAGGGCACACGGUGGAUGCCUAGGCGCCAAGAGCCGAAGAA